AUGGCUCAGGAUGAACGCUAGCGGCAGGCUAACACAUGCAAGUCGAGGGGCAGCGCGAGGUAGCAAUACUUUGGCGGCGACCGGCGGAAGGGUGCGUAACGCGUGAGCAACAUGCCCGUAUGAGGGGGAUAGUCAUUGGAAACGAUGCGUAAUACCCCGUAACAACAAGGAUCGCAUGGUCCAUGUUUGAAAGAUUCAUCGCAUACGGAUUGGCUCGCGUGACAUUAGCUAGUUGGCGGGGUAACGGCCCACCAAGGCGACGAUGUCUAGGGGAACUGAGAGGUUGGUCCCCCACACUGGAACUGAGACACGGUCCAGACUCCUACGGGAGGCAGCAGUGAGGAAUAUUGGUCAAUGGGCGGAAGCCUGAACCAGCCAUGCCGCGUGAAAGGAAUAAGGCCCUAUGGGUCGUAAACUUCUUUUGACGGGGAGCAAUAAGGGCGUCGCGCACGUCCGAUGAGAGUACUCGUCGAAUAAGCAUCGGCUAACUCCGUGCCAGCCGCCGC
rnacentral:rRNA from 1 species